AUUGAACGCUGGCGGUAUGCCUUACACAUGCAAGUCGAACGGUAGAGGGGCAACCCUUGAGAGUGGCGAACGGGUGAGUAAUACAUCGGAACGUGCCCAGUCGUGGGGGAUAACGUAGCGAAAGCUACGCUAAUACCGCAUACAACCUGAGGGUGAAAGCGGGGGAUCGCAAGACCUCGCGCGAUUGGAGCGGCCGAUGGCAGAUUAGGUAGUUGGUGGGGUAAAGGCCUACCAAGCCUGCGAUCUGUAGCUGGUCUGAGAGGACGGCCAGCCACGCUGGGACUGAGACACGGCACAGACUCCUACGGGAGACAGCAGUGGGGAAUUUUGGACACUGGGCGAAAGCCUGAUCCAGCCAUACAGCGUGCGGGAAGAAGGCCUUCGGGUUGUAAACCGCUUUUGUCAGGGAAGAAAUCUUCUGGGCUAAUACCUCGGGAGGAUGACGGUACCUGAAGAAUAAGCACCGGCUAACUACGUGCCAGCCGCCGCAGUAAGAC
rnacentral:rRNA from 1 species